UACAGAGGGGGCAAGCGUUGUUCGGAAUUACUGGGCGUAAAGGGCGCGUAGGCGGCCUUCUAAGUCGAACGUGAAAUCCCCGGGCUCAACCCGGGAACUGCGUCCGAUACUGGAAGGCUUGAAUCCGGGAGAGGGAUGCGGAAUUCCCGGUGUAGCGGUGAAAUGCGCAGAUAUCGGGAAGAACACCUAUGGCGAAGGCAGCUCUCUGGGACGGUACUGACGCUGAGACGCGAAAGCGUGGGGAGCGAACAGG
rnacentral:rRNA from 1 species